GAGUGAACGCUGGCGGUAGGCCUAACACAUGCAAGUCGAACGGCAGCACAGUAAGAGCUUGCUCUUACGGGUGGCGAGUGGCGGACGGGUGAGGAAUACAUCGGAAUCUACUUUUUCGUGGGGGAUAACGUAGGGAAACUUACGCUAAUACCGCAUACGACCUACGGGUGAAAGCAGGGGAUCUUCGGACCUUGCGCGAUUGAAUGAGCCGAUGUCGGAUUAGCUAGUUGGCGGGGUAAAGGCCCACCAAGGCGACGAUCCGUAGCUGGUCUGAGAGGAUGAUCAGCCACACUGGAACUGAGACACGGUCCAGACUCCCACGGGAGGCAGCAGUGGGGAAUAUUGGACAAUGGGCGCAAGCCUGAUCCAGCCAUACCGCGUGGGUGAAGAAGGCCUUCGGGUUGUAAAGCCCUUUUGUUGGGAAAGAAAAGCAGCAGGUUAAUACCCCGCUGUUCUGACGGUACCCAAAGAAUAAGCACCGGCUAACUUCGUG
rnacentral:rRNA from 1 species